GAUGAACGCUGGCGGCGUGCCUAACACAUGCAAGUCGAACGGAGUCCAGCCUUUAAGACCUUCGGGUCAAAGAGGGGAAGACUGAGUGGCGGACGGGUGAGUAACACGUGGGCAACCUGGCUCAUAGAGGGGGAUAACAGAGAGAAAUUUCUGCUAAUACCGCAUAAGCACACACUGCCGCAUGGCAGAGGGUGAAAAGAGAAUCGCUAUGAGAUGGACCCGCGUCUGAUUAGCCAGUUGGCAGGGUAAGAGCCUACCAAAGCGACGAUCAGUAGCCGAUCUGAGAGGAUGAACGGCCACAUUGGGACUGAGACACGGACCAAACUCCUACGGGAGGCAGCAGUGGGGGAUAUUGCACAAUGGGGGGAACCCUGAUGCAGCGACGCCGCGUGAGUGAAGAAGUAUUUCGGUAUGUAAAGCUCUAUCAGCAGGGAAGAUAAUGACAGUACCUGAAUAAGAAGCCCCGGCUAACUACGUG
rnacentral:rRNA from 1 species